UAGUGGGGGACGCGUCGGUCCCCAGCAUGGCGGCCACCUGGCCGGCUGCUCCGGAGGCCGUGGCCGCCCAGCUCCUCGGUGUCCUGUGGUUCGUGUCGGUCACCACGGGACCUUGGGGAGCUGCUGCCAUCGCCGCCGCCGGCGGCGAGGAGACGCUUAAGUGCGAGGACCUCAAAUUGGGACAAUAUAUUUGUAAAGAUCCAAAAAUAAAUGAUGCUACACAAGAACCAGUUAACUGUACAAACUACACAGCUCAUGUUCCUUGUUUUCCAGCACCCAACAUAACUUGUAAGGAUUUUGGUGGCAAUGAAACACAUUUUACUGGAAAUGAAGUUGGUUUUCUCAAGCCUAUAUCUUGCCGAAAUGUAAAUGGCUAUUCAUACAAAGUGGCAGUUGCGUUGUCUCUUUUCCUUGGAUGGUUGGGAGCAGAUCGAUUUUACCUUGGAUACCCUGCCUUGGGUUUGUUAAAGUUUUGCACUGUAGGGUUUUGUGGAAUUGGGAGCCUAAUUGAUUUCAUUCUUAUUUCAAUGCAGAUCGUUGGACCUUCAGAUGGAAGUAGUUACAUUAUAGAUUAUUAUGGAACCAGACUUACAAGACUGAGUAUUACUAAUGAGACAUUUAGAAAAACACAGUUAUAUCCAUAAAUAUUUUUUAAAAGAAACAAGAUUAUGGUUAGAAGACAGAGUUCACAACAAAAAGAUAACAUCAAAGCAAAAAGAUAUUUCAUAGUAUUACAUGAUGUUUAUGAGGAAAGAUUUGGGCUUCCUUGAUUUCAAUAGAGCACUCUCAGUAUGUGGAUUUCCAGAUUUUCCUUUUUCUUCAUAUACCACUUUAUGGAUUCUUUAUAACUUUUUGUUGAUAUUUUUUGUUUUGUUUUACUUAAAAGCAUAUUAUUCUGAGAUUUAUUUAAUUGGACUUUCUUUGAGAGCUGUGUGAUAAUUGAGUCUUAGGCUACUGUCUCCAUGAGAUAGAUAGCUUAUUACCCCGAUAUUCUUUAAUGCCUUUUCCAAAGGCAAGUUGCGACUUGUCAUUUUCGCUUUUGAAAAAUAAAAGAAUGACUUAUUCACAUUUUUUUUAGUGCUUUACCAUUAAGAAAACCUUAUAUGUUGAAUGUAGCGGUCUUCUGCGUUUUGAUCCUUCAAAGCACUUAAUCCACAGUAUGAACAAACACCAUUUCCUAUAUUGCCUGGGGCCACAGUUGUGUUUUUCUGCAGCCUCUGCCUUGGUAUCCAUCGAGUGAAAGAUCACUGGGGAGUCUGAAACCUUGAGGCAACAUGGAUACUUCUGGCACUGAUGCAGCCCUCUGAAGUGUGAACUUGUUCCUUCUUGCUUUGGGAGUGAUGCACUAGCUUUUGGAAGACCAGCUGCUGACUCAUCUAGCUCAGCGCAGUUAUAUUUGAAGCUGCAUGGACAAGGUGGGAACACCAAACAGAUGAUGAAUGUCUUCCCUCUGUUAGCGCUGCCAGGCAGAUGCUGAUACAAGUGACUUGGGUGAGGCACCAGUGUCUGAGGGACCCUGUACCUUAGCACUGGCUUCCUCACUGCAUUUGGGAGGGUGGUAAGAAGAUGGAAAUACCGGGAAUGUUACGUGUCCUCAUAAUACUGUCAUGCUUUCUUUAGUAACAGGCAUAACAAUUUCACAAUCACUUGGGUCCCAGCUCCUCAAGAGUAAAAACCAUCGUUUUUUAUCGCUCAUUUUACUCAGAAGUAUACAGUGACAGUACAGUUAGCUUCCUAACAUGUUAGUCAUUCAGUAACAGCUUCUGCAGUUGGUGGGAGAUUAUGCGGUAUUGAUACAUGAAAUGAAUUUGGAUUGACUCCUCAUGUACACCCAGAAUGGUCUCUCUGAUUCAUUCGUUAGUUAAAAUCCUGAGUGUCUACUGCGUGGGAGGCCCUGUUCUAGAUGCUAGGGUGCAGCCCUGAACAAAACACAAACAAACAUGUCUGCCCUUCAGGAGCUAAUGUUCCCUGGGGACCGACUUUUCACAGUGAUAGUAUUUCUGGCUGCAGUUAAGCUAGCUGGUAGAUACCCAUUUUCUGGUACUUCCUAGCUCCUUUUGGUUGCAAACAGUGCUUUGGAGUUUAACCUUAGGAUUCCCUAAGCCCAGAUUUGAAGUCUUUACGUUUCUACAGCCAUGUAAGUUCAAUUAUAUAAGAAGUACCUGCAAUCAAAUCUUGAAAAGUAAUCUUGAUUCUUGUGUGAUUGUUAGUUAUUAACAUGGCCAGUGGGAAGUCUGUUUCAAAGCAGGUGCUUCUCAAAGUAUUUAUUCAUAUAAGUUGUACUCUGAAAGGGUUGUAGAGAAAAUCUAGAGAGAAAGUCUCUUUACAAUACAUUCUUAAACCCGUAGAUUCUGUUUUCUCUAUAUAAUUUCCUAAAUUUACAUGACAAGAACACUUCAGAUUUUCCGGUUUGCCUAAUUCUCUAUUGCCUAAUAUAUGUCAUUCUUUAACAAAUGGUUUUCCUGUAUAUUAUUAUAUUUAUUUUUUAUGUAAAUGCAUUUAAUACAUGUAAAUGCAGUUUU